GUUGAGGGGAAUGGUGUCUGGUUCGAGACCAUUCUUCUGAAGCAAAGAUCAUCAUCACCCUUGAGAAUGAUCUCGGACCAGGCUUCAUUCCCCCUAGC
rfam:Glycine soja cultivar W05 scaffold1660_296, whole genome shotgun sequence.